GUUCUCCACCGUCCUUCUCCGUGUCGCAACGGUGAAACAGCAAGCUGUUCUCGCUGCUAGAAAUAGAUAGCCUAGUUAGGUAGUAUACGUUCCCGCUCUAUUCUCGGUGCAGGCUAACUUUUUCCCCCCGUUAGCUCGCUUACCUGGCCAUACGAGAGUUUGCGCGCGCGAGUGCGAAUAUCCAGCCUCUCUUUCCUUGUAUAAGCGCGCCUAGGUCUUUCUAGCGCGUAACUGCGCCGCGAUUGCUUCACCCGCGAGUGCUGCCCCGUUCCAUUAUAUGUGCACGUGCGAUGUUACGCCGUUCCAAUUUCCUCUUUUGAUCCCGGCGAACAGAAACGCCCAUGCGUUAUAAUCAAAAUAUCACUCACGUAUCAACACCAAAUUCAAGUCCCGGUUC
rnacentral:misc_RNA from 1 species